GAUGAACGCUGGCGGCGUGCCUAAUACAUGCAAGUCGAGCGAAUGGAUUGAGAGCUUGCUCUUAUGAAGUUAGCGGCGGACCGGUGAGUAACACGUGGGUAACCUGCCCAUAAGACUGGGAUAACUCCGGGAAACCGGGGCUAAUACCGGAUAACAUUUUGAACCGCAUGGUUCGAAAUUGAAAGGCGGCUUCGGCUGUCACUUAUGGAUGGACCCGCGUCGCAUUAGCUAGUUGGUGAGGUAACGGCUCACCAAGGCAACGAUGCGUAGCCGACCUGAGAGGGUGAUCGGCCACACUGGGACUGAGACACGGCCCAGACUCCUACGGGAGGAAGCAGUAGGGAAUCUUCCGCAAUGGACGAAAGUCUGACGGAGCAACGCCGCGUGAGUGAUGAAGGCUUUCGGGUCGUAAAACUCUGUUGUUAGGGAAGAACAAGUGCUAGUUGAAUAAGCUGGCACCUUGACGGUACCUAACCAGAAAGCCACGGCUAACUACGUGCCAGCCGCCGCCGUAA
rnacentral:rRNA from 1 species